GAUGAACGCUGGCGGCGUGCCUAAUACAUGCAAGUCGAGCGAACAGACGAGGAGCUUGCUCCUCUGACGUUAGCGGCGGACGGGUGAGUAACACGUGGAUAACCUACCUAUAAGACUGGGAUAACUUCGGGAAACCGGAGCUAAUACCGGAUAAUAUAUUGAACCGCAUGGUUCAAUAGUGAAAGACGGUUUUGCUGUCACUUAUAGAUGGAUCCGCGCCGCAUUAGCUAGUUGGUAAGGUAACGGCUUACCAAGGCAACGAUGCGUAGCCGACCUGAGAGGGGGAUCGGCCACACGGGAGCUGAGACGGGGUCCAGACGCCUGCGGGAGGCAGCAGUAGGGAAUCUUCCGCAAUGGGGGAAAGCCUGACGGAGCAAGGCCGAGUGAGUGAUAAAGGUCUUCGGAUCGUAAAACUCUGUUAUUAGGGAAGAACAAAUGUGUAAGUACCUGUGCACGUCUUGACGGUACCUAAUCAAAAAGCAACGGCUAACUACGUG
rnacentral:rRNA from 1 species